GAUGAACGCUGGCGGCGUGCUUAACACAUGCAAGUCGAACGGAAAGGCCCAAGCUUGCUUGGGUACUCGAGUGGCGAACGGGUGAGUAACACGUGGGUGAUCUGCCCUGCACUUCGGGAGAAGCCUGGGGAACUGGGUCUAAUACCGGAUAGGACCACAUUUUGGAUGGUGUGGUGGAAAGUUUUUCGGUGUGGGAUGAGCUCGCGGCGUAUCAGCUUGUUGGUGGGGUAAUUGCUUACCAAGGCGUCGACGGGUAGCCGGCCUGAGAGGGUGUACGGCCACACUGGGACUCUGAUGCAGGCCACAGUCCUACGGGAGGCAGAAGUGGGGAAUAUUGCACAAUGCGAGGAAGCCUGAGGCAGCGAGGCCGCGUGAGGGAUGAAGGCCUUUGGGUUGUAAAAUCCUUUCGGUAGGGACGAAGCGUUUUUGUGACGGUACCUGGAGAAGAAGCACCGGCUAACUACGUG
rnacentral:rRNA from 1 species